rnacentral:rRNA from 1 species
AUUGAACGCUGGCGGCAUGCUUUACACAUGCAAGUCGAACGGCAGCAUGGGCUUCGGCCUGAUGGCGAGUGGCGGACGGGUGAGUAAUGCAUCGGAACGUACCCAGUCAUGGGGGAUAACUACGCGAAAGCGUGGCUAAUACCGCAUACGCCCUGAGGGGGAAAGCGGGGGAUCUUUCGGGACCUCGCGUGAUUGGAGCGGCUGAUGUCGGAUUAGCUAGUUGGUGGGGUAAAGGCUCACCAAGGCGACGAUCCGUAGCUGGUCUGAGAGGAUGAUCAGCCACACUGGGACUGAGACACGGCCCAGACUCCUACGGGAGGCAGCAGUGGGGAAUUUUGGACAAUGGGGGCAACCCUGAUCCAGCCAUGCCGCGUGAGUGAAGAAGGCCUUCGGGUUGUAAAGCUCUUUCAGUUGGGAAGAAACGGGGUUCUCUAACAUAGGGCUCUAAUGACGGUAC